rnacentral:rRNA from 1 species
ACAAUGGGCGCAAGCCUGAUGGAGCAACACCGCGUGAGUGAAGGAGGGUUUCGGCUCGUAAAGCUCUGUUGUUAAAGAAGAACACGUAUGAGAGUAACUGUUCAUACGUUGACGGUAUUUAACCAGAAAGUCACGGCUAACUACGUGCCAGCAGCCGCGGUAAUACGUAGGUGGCAAGCGUUAUCCGGAUUUAUUGGGGCGUAAAGAGAGUGCAGGCGGUUUUCUAAGUCUGAUGUGAAAGCCUUCGGCUUAACCGGAGAAGUGCAUCGGAAACUGGAUAACUUGAGUGCAGAAGAGGGUAGUGGAACUCCAUGUGUAGCGGUGGAAUGCGUAGAUAUAUGGAAGAACACCAGUGGCGAAGGCGGCUACCUGGUCUGCAACUGACGCUGAGACUCGAAAGCAUGGGUAGCGAACAGGAUUAGAUACCCUGGUAG